rnacentral:tRNA from 1 species
GCGCGCGUGCCGAAGGUGCUGGGCGGUUCGCUCGAAGCGCACCGCCGCGAGGUGCGGUCACGAGUGUUCGACGUCGUCCGCGCGCA